CUUAGAUCAGAAGUUGCAUGUAUUUUAUUAAAUUAAUAAUUAUAUAUUUUAAAAUCUAAAAUAUCUUUUUUUGACAUAAACAUUGAUGUUUGGUUAAACCCAAUGACCAGAUCACAACUGAAGCAUACAUGUGUGUGCGUUGUUGACUUGUCGUGUGCGUAUCUAAUGUUUCAAUUUAUUUCACAUUGUUUACCUUACGUCCAUUUUCAUGUCUGGCAUGAUGUUAUGAGUUCGCAUUGGUUUAAAAUUUACUCUAAAAACAAUAAACAAAGUUUUCUCCAAUCUCGUCAUAUGUAUCGGAUAUCGGUAGAGGCACAUAAAAUUGAACUCGGUCAUCGGUAGAUAUAAUCAAUCCGAAUUCAAGAGCAAAAAUAUAUUUUAAAAAAAAGAAAGAAAUUCAUGAUAAAUUCACAACAAAUCUCAAAAGGGAGUAAAUGAUUCAUCUAGAUAAUUAUCAAAUAUACAGUGGGUACCGUCCGUAUAAAACUUAUAAAAUAUACCUUCCGGAAUUUUCCAGCCUCCAUUUAUGUACUACAUGUACAUUACCAGUGACGUCACUGGAAAGAGAAGUCUGACGUCUGCAAGUUCUAGGGCCUAGCUAAAGUGUAUUACAUAAUGGAGACUUGGGUUACCAAAAACAGAAAAUAUUGACCAUGUUGAGGCAGUGAGCUGUCUUGGUCAGCACCCAGGUGUAUCCAUCAACACGGGCACGUUAUAUCAAAAUGAAGAUAUGCAUUCCAGGAUGGUGACUGAAGCUCAUCUUUGUAAACACCUAAAUGCCUAGAAUGGACUCCAAAACAGAUUCUUAAAGUUAAACCAGUAUAAUCUUGAAUAUGGACAAAAAGUAUACACUUGGAACACACACAAAAACAGAUGAGUCCAUGCCAAGCUAAAGAUUAAUGCAGAAGAUUUAUUCUUUGUGACAAGUCCUUCCUUGGAUGUCAACAAUUUGACCUUUGACCUUGACUUUGGAGUUUGACUUACACUUGGGAAACUUUAACCAUAAGCUGGAAUAUGGGGUAUUAGUAUGUACAAACACAUCUUUUUUUCCGAGUUCACGCACAAAUCAAUGCUAUGUAAUGAAUUUUAGAUAAGAGAAUUACAAGGUAAAUAUUUGAGGAUAUAGUGAAAAAAAAUAGUUUAAAAGAUCAUGGUUAUGAGUACUAAAAAAUUAAUUAUUUAGUAUUUAUAUUUAAGUUAUACAGAGAAUCAACCAGGAUUAAUAUCAGGAUAAUAAUAAUGUUCAGGGGAAAAAAUGGGUUUUUCCCGUAUUCCAUGCAUCCAAUAUUUUCUUUUUCUUUACAGGCAAAAGAGAACUGGAGAAAAAUGAAUUGAUGUUAACAUACUCUACAUUAAAUUUGGUUUAAAUCUAAA